GUUAUCCUUGUCUAAGGGGAGCAAAGUAUUCAAUGAUCGUUUAGUGAGGGUACUGUUGCUGAAUCCCAUUAACAAAUUAUUCUCCGCAUCCACGAUAUAUUAUUAUCGUGUGAUGCAAUUUUUGAAGGC